rnacentral:rRNA from 1 species
AGCAGUCGCCGCGGUAAUACGAAGGGGGCUAGCGUUGCUCGGAAUUACUGGGCGUAAAGGGAGCGUAGGCGGACAUUUAAGUCAGGGGUGAAAUCCCAGAGCUCAACUCUGGAACUGCCUUUGAUACUGGGUGUCUUGAGUGUGAUAGAGGUAUGUGGAACUCCGAGUGUAGAGGUGAAAUUCGUAGAUAUUCGGAAGAACACCAGUGGCGAAGGCGACAUACUGGAUCAUUACUGACGCUGAGGCUCGAAAGCGUGGGGAGCAAACAGGAUUAGAUACCCGCGUAGUCCCUGUCUCUUAUAA